AUGAGUUGCGAACGGGUGAGUAACGCGUAGGUAACCUGCCUGGUAGCGGGGGAUAACUAUUGGAAACGAUAGCUAAUACCGCAUAACAAUGGAUGACACAUGUCAUUUAUUUGAAAGGGGCAAUUGCUCCACUACAAGAUGGACCUGCGUUGUAUUAGCUAGUAGGUGAGGUAACGGCUCACCUAGGCGACGAUACAUAGCCGACCUGAGAGGGUGAUCGGCCACACUGGGACUGAGACACGGCCCAGACUCCUACGGGAGGCAGCAGUAGGGAAUCUUCGGCAAUGGACGAAAGUCUGACCGAGCAACGCCGCGUGAGUGAAGAAGGUUUUCGGAUCGUAAAGCUCUGUUGUAAGAGAAGAACGGGUGUGAGAGUGGAAAGUUCACACUGUGACGGUAUCUUACCAGAAAGGGACGGCUAACUACGUGCCAGCAGCCGCGGUAAUACGUAGGUCCCGAGCGUUGUCCGGAUUUAUUGGGCGUAAAGCGAGCGCAGGCGGUUAGAUAAGUCUGAAGUUAAAGGCUGUGGCUUAACCAUAGUACGCUUUGGAAACUGUUUAACUUGAGUGCAGAAGGGGAGAGUGGAAUUCCAUGUGUAGCGGUGAAAUGCGUAGAUAUAUGGAGGAACACCGGUGGCGAAAGCGGCUCUCUGGUCUGUAACUGACGCUGAGGCUCGAAAGCGUGGGGAGCAAACAGG
rnacentral:rRNA from 1 species